AGUGAACGCUGGCGGUAGGCCUGACACAUGCAAGUCGAACGGCAGCACAGGAGAGCUUGCUCUCUGGGUGGCGAGUGGCGGACGGGUGAGGAAUACAUCGGAAUCUACUUUUUCGUGGGGGAUAACGUAGGGAAACUUGCGCUAAUACCGCAUACGACCUACGGGUGAAAGCAGGGGACCUUCGGGCCUUGCGCGAUUGAAUGAGCCGAUGUCGGAUUAGCUAGUUGGCGGGGUAAAGGCCCACCAAGGCGACGAUCCGUAGCUGGUCUGAGAGGAUGAUCAGCCACACUGGAACGGAGACACGGUCCAGACUCCUACGGGAGGCAGCAGUGGGGAAUAUUGGACAAUGGGCGCAAGCCUGAUCCAGCCAUACCGCGUGGGUGAAGAAGGCCUUCGGGUUGUAAAGCCCUUUUGUUGGGAAAGAAAUCCAGCUGGCUAAUACCCGGUUGGGAUGACGGUACCCAAAGAAUAAGCACCGGCUAACUUCGUGCCAGCCGCCGCCGUAA
rnacentral:rRNA from 1 species